UUUUUUUUUUUUUUUUUUUCGUCUCAGGGAAAGGUUCUCUGACUUACCUGUGAACAGAAAUACCUGUCCAUUUCUUGAAUGUUUAGGGAACACUGUUAACCCUUGGAAAUGGCAUCUAAACUUCAGGCCAGAAAUUGGCCCAGCUCACCAGCAACUCAGGAGGAAACUGACAUUUGCAACGAUGAGCCAGUGGUUCCCAACUAAGGUAAUCAACAGAGCCCCUUGGAUUUUAAAAAUAAACAGACCUCUAGCCCUACUUCAGAUCUACUGAGAGGGUCUACAUAGUGGGACCAAGGAAUCUGUACCUUUGUAAAGCUUCCCAGAAAAUUCCAAUGCUUACUUGCUAGGUUUGGAAACCUCCAGGAAGAUGAUGGUCCUUUCCCCCGAAGCACUCUCCUUGAACAAAGUUAUCAAGUAAACAAAAAUACUUAAACCCUAAAAUCUCAGCACCUCAAAAACAACUUCAAGGCUUACACUCUUGCUAAGGUACAUAGAACUCCCUUAAAAGAAACACCAACUAGAAUAGUACUUUUCUAUCUCUUACCAAAAUGGUUAAAAAAAAAUUUUUUUUAAGCCCCCUAUACUGUUGGUCAGCAUCCUUGAAGAUGCCAUAUAAAUGGAAGCAAUUUUAUUCCAGAUAUCUAAAUAACUCAACAUGAGCUGUAGCCACCGGCCUAUGCCACAGCCAGAGCAACGCAGGAUCCAAGCCGCAUCUGAGACCUACACCACAGCUCACGAAUCUUUAACCCGCUGAGCAAGGCCGGGGAUCGAACCUGUAACCUCAUGGUUCCUAGUCAGAUUCGUUUCUGCUACGCCAUGACAGGAAAUCCCUUUUGUUAAGUCUUCUGAUGCGUGUUCUUGUGCUUGAAAUUUUGUAGUUAUGUAUUUUGCUAUUGCAAAUCACCUUAAAUCCAUUUUACAAGUUGGAUAUAUUAAUUAAACAUGAAAUAAUGAUAGUUUAGCACUUCUAUCAUCACACAAAAUCAGACUGGGAUAAAGAAAUUUGGCAUUCAAGUUCAAUCUCAGUGCCAUCCACCUUUAGGGACAACCUCCUCUGAACUACUGGCUGUGUCAAAAGUAUUCAGGUAUAAAUUUAAAAGACUCUGGGCUGGGUGACAAAGCAGAGCCCAGCCCCGCAGUAUGCCAUUUAGAUGUGGAAUUUGAACUCUCCUUAGUCAGACUUCUGACUCAAUUUGUUUGUGGGCCCAGGCUAUGGCACAGGCUUUGAAACCACAUCAUAGCCACAUAAGAUGUAUGAGCCUAUGCAAGUUGGCCUGAAAACCCCCAGAAUGUUUCAAAAUGUUCUUGGUUACUCUAUAACCAUUUUCUCAAGAAAAUGAGGCAAUAAAGUAAUUGAGGUACUUGUAGCUGAGCUGUGCCUUGAUCCAGCUUCACUUCACACUCGGUGCAAACAGAAGCUGUUAAUGCUAAGGGGUGGCCCAUCAAAGAGACUUUUUGCCCUCUUAGUCUCAAAGACCAACUGUCAUUUCUUAGGAAUAUAAUUCAAAAACAUAUAGCAAAGUAGAAUAACCUAAUUGAUCAAGAAGUCAUUGGUCUCUCAAAAGUCCCAUACAAGUCCCUCUGAACCCCAUGGGCUUUUAAACAGUCCCAAUAACAACCACCCAUAACCCAAAGCCUAACCCUUCACUAAACAUAACCAUGUGUAGUUACUCUAUGUCUGAGUUUCUUCAUUUAAUAAAUGAAACUUCUAAUAGUAUCAACCUCAUUCAUUGUUGGGAGGAUUAAAUGAGAUCACAUUUGUAAAGGGUUUAGAACAAUGGCUGGCCCAUAAUUAGCACACAAUACACAGCAGCUACCAUUAGUAUUUUUUUAACAGUACCGCUGUAUCUCCACACCUUCUAUGUGUUAGCCAUAGCGCUACACUCUCUCUAUACAUCAUCCUCAUCUGUACCACAACUUUAAAAGACAAGUACUACUAUUAUCACUUUACAAAUGAGGGCACUAAGGUUUCAGGGGCUAACCUUGCGCAAAGUCAUACAGCUAAUACACAGACAAGAUAAGGUUUGAACUCAGAUCAGGCUUCAAGACUUCAUUUUCCCACCACACCAAGAUGGCUUUAAUUCUUGACUUGCUGGAUUAAAAAUAAAGCAGAAAGUACAGGAGUUCCUGUUGUGGCUCAGUGGCAACAGACCCAACUAGCAUCCAUGAGGACAUGGGUUUGAUCCCUGGUCUUCCUCGGUGGGUUAAGGAUCCGGCAUUGCCCACCAUGAGCGGAGGUGUAGGAUGCAGAUACAGCUUGGAUUUGGCGUUGCUGUGUCUGUGGUGUAGGCCAGCAGCUGUAGCUCCCAUUUGACCCCUAGCCUGGGAACUUCCAUAUGCUGUGGGUAUGGCCCU
rnacentral:lncRNA from 1 species